rnacentral:rRNA from 1 species
CCAGUACCGUGAGGGAAAGGCGAAAAGAACCCCGGCGAGGGGAGUGAAAAAGAACCUGAAACCGUGUACGUACAAGCAGUGGGAGCCUCUUAAUGGGGUGACUGCGUACCUUUUGUAUAAUGGGUCAGCGACUUAUAUUCUGUAGCAAGGUUAACCGAAUAGGGGAGCCGAAGGGAAACCGAGUCUUAACUGGGCGUUAAGUUGCAGGGUAUAGACCCGAAACCCGGUGAUCUAGCCAUGGGCAGGUUGAAGGUUGGGUAACACUAACUGGAGGACCGAACCGACUAAUGUUGAAAAAUUAGCGGAUGACUUGUGGCUGGGGGUGAAAGGCCAAUCAAACCGGGAGAUAGCUGGUUCUCCCCGAAAGCUAUUUAGGUAGCGCCUCGUGAAUUCAUCUCCGGGGGUAGAGCACUGUUUCGGCAAGGGGGUCAUCCCGACUUACCAACCCGAUGCAAACUGCGAAUACCGGAGAAUGUUAUCACGGGAGACACACGGCGGGUGCUAACGUCCGUCGUGAAGAGGGAAACAACCCAGACCGCCAGCUAAGGUCCCAAAGUCAUGGUUAAGUGGGAAACGAUGUGGGAAGGCCCAGACAGCCAGGAUGUUGGCUUAGAAGCAGCCAUCAUUUAAAGAAAGCGUAAUAGCUCACUGGUCGAGUCGGCCUGCGCGGAAGAUGUAACGGGGCUAAACCAUGCACCGAAGCUGCGGCAGCGACACUAUGUGUUGUUGGGUAGGGGAGCGUUCUGUAAGCCUGUGAAGGUGGCCUGUGAGGGUUGCUGGAGGUAUCAGAAGUGCGAAUGCUGACAUAAGUAACGAUAAAGCGGGUGAAAAGCCCGCUCGCCGGAAGACCAAGGGUUCCUGUCCAACGUUAAUCGGGGCAGGGUGAGUCGACCCCUAAGGCGAGGCCGAAAGGCGUAGUCGAUGGGAAACAGGUUAAUAUUCCUGUACUUGGUGUUACUGCGAAGGGGGGACGGAGAAGGCUAUGUUGGCCGGGCGACGGUUGUCCCGGUUUAAGCGUGUAGGCUGGUUUUCCAGGCAAAUCCGGAAAAUCAAGGCUGAGGCGUGAUGACGAGGCACUACGGUGCUGAAGCGACAAAUGCCCUGCUUCCAGGAAAAGCCUCUAAGCAUCAGGUAACAUCAAAUCGUACCCCAAACCGACACAGGUGGUCAGGUAGAGAAUACCAAGGCGCUUGAGAGAACUCGGGUGAAGGAACUAGGCAAAAUGGUGCCGUAACUUCGGGAGAAGGCACGCUGAUAUGUAGGUGAAGCGACUUGCUCGUGGAGCUGAAAUCAGUCGAAGAUACCAGCUGGCUGCAACUGUUUAUUAAAAACACAGCACUGUGCAAACACGAAAGUGGACGUAUACGGUGUGACGCCUGCCCGGUGCCGGAAGGUUAAUUGAUGGGGUUAGCGGUAACGCGAAGCUCUUGAUCGAAGCCCCGGUAAACGGCGGCCGUAACUAUAACGGUCCUAAGGUAGCGAAAUUCCUUGUCGGGUAAGUUCCGACCUGCACGAAUGGCGUAAUGAUGGCCAGGCUGUCUCCACCCGAGACUCAGUGAAAUUGAACUCGCUGUGAAGAUGCAGUGUACCCGCGGCAAGACGGAAAGACCCCGUGAACCUUUACUAUAGCUUGACACUGAACAUUGAGCCUUGAUGUGUAGGAUAGGUGGGAGGCUUUGAAGUGUGGACGCCAGUCUGCAUGGAGCCGACCUUGAAAUACCACCCUUUAAUGUUUGAUGUUCUAACGUGGGCCCCUUACCGGGGUUGCGGACAGUGUCUGGU